GAAUUCAACUCCUACGGGAGGCAGCAGUGGGGAAUAUUGCACAAUGGGGGAACCCCUGAUGCAGCAACGCCGCGUGAGUGAUGACGGCCUUCGGGUUGUAAAGCUCUGUCUUCAGGGACGAUAAUGACGGUACCUGAGGAGGAAGCCACGGCUAACUACGUGCCAGCAGACGCGGUAAUACGUAGGUGGCAAGCGUUGUCCGGAUUUACUGGGCGUAAAGGGAGCGUAGGCGGACUUUUAAGUGAGAUGUGAAAUACCCGGGCUCAACUUGGGUGCUGCAUUUCAAACUGGAAGUCUAGAGUGCAGGAGAGGAGAAUGGAAUUCCUAGUGUAGCGGUGAAAUGCGUAGAGGUUAGGAAGAACACCAGUGGCGAAGGCGAUUCUCUGGACUGUAACUGACGCUGAGGCUCGAAAGCGUGGGGAGCAAACAGGAUUAGAAACCCGAGUAGUCCAGGCGUU
rnacentral:rRNA from 1 species